AUACGGAGGAUGCGAGCGUUAUCCGGAUUUAUUGGGUUUAAAGGGAGCGUACGCGGGAGCUUAAGUCAGCGGUUAAAUGGUGCGGCUCAACCGUGCCCUGCCGUUGAAACUGGGUUUCUUGAGAGUGCAAGAGGCGGAUGGAAUUCAUGGUGUAGCGGUGAAAUGCUUAGAUAUCAUGAAGAACUCCGAUUGCGAAGGCAGUCCGCUGGGGCACGUCUGACGCUGAUGCUCGAAGGUGCGGGAAUCAAACAGGAUUAGAUACCCUGGUAGUCCGCACGGUAAACGAUGAUUACCCGCUGUCGGCGGUAGACAGUCGGCGGCCAAGCGAAAGCGAUAAGUAAUCCACCUGGGGAGUACGCCGGCAACGGUGAAACUCAAAUGAAUUGACGGGG
rnacentral:rRNA from 1 species